CCUACGGGAGGCUGCAGUGGGGAAUAUUGGACAAUGGGCGAAAGCCUGAUCCAGCCAUGCCGCGUGUGUGAAGAAGGCCUUCGGGUUGUAAAGCACUUUCAGUGGGGAAGAAAGCCUUGGGGCUAAUACCCUCGAGGAAGGACAUCACCCACAGAAGAAGCACCGGCUAACUCCGUGCCAGCAGCCGCGGUAAUACGGAGGGUGCGGGCGUUAAUCGGAAUUACUGGGCGUAAAGCGCGCGUAGGCGGUCUGAUAAGCCGGUUGUGAAAGCCCCGGGCUCAACCUGGGAACGGCAUCCGGAACUGUCAGGCUAGAGUGCAGGAGAGGAAGGUAGAAUUCCCGGUGUAGCGGUGAAAUGCGUAGAGAUCGGGAGGAAUACCAGUGGCGAAGGCGGCCUUCUGGACUGACACUGACGCUGAGGUGCGAAAGCGUGGGUAGCAAACAGGAUUAGAUACCCGGGUAGUC
rnacentral:rRNA from 1 species